UACGGAGGGUGCAAGCGUUAUCCGGAUUCACUGGGUUUAAAGGGUGCGUAGGCGGGCAGGUAAGUCCGUGGUGAAAUCUCUGAGCUUAACUCAGAAACUGCCAUGGAUACUAUUUGUCUUGAAUGUUGUGGAGGUAAGCGGAAUAUGUCAUGUAGCGGUGAAAUGCUUAGAUAUGACAUAGAACACCGAUAGCGAAGGCAGCUUACUAAGGAGUAACUGACGCUGAGGCACGAAAGUGUGGGGGAUCAAACAGG
rnacentral:rRNA from 1 species